UAUUUCAUGCAAAUGAAGGGUAGAAUGAGAAGCUCACAAUGAUAUGGUAGACAAGGACCUUGCUGUCUUAAGCUCGGAGGCCAGAUGACAGUGUCUGAACCGGCUUGUCAGAAUUGCGUACAAGGAUGCCAUUGGACUUUUCUGUACUAGUAGCUGAAGGGGAGCAGUCACCAGAAGGAGCAUGCAACUCCAAAACAAUGUGGAUACUUCUACCGAGUUCAUCUCAAGAAUCAAGAUGUGACAGUGGAUGUGCAUGUAGAGGGGUUUGUGACCCUCCUGACUGUGGACUACAUGCAAUACACAUAAACUCAAUCAAUGGAUUGUAGAGGAGUAAUGGUGGGUCCGGUGAGCUCAACUCUGGAGGUUAAGUUCGCAAAAUUAAUAAAUUUCCUUUUAAUAUGGGUGUAUAUGGUUCCAGGGAUUAAUUUGACGCAAUGCCUCGUAGUGACACGCCCUAUUAAGGGGCAACACACGUGUCAGAAGGUAUAAAAUGGGAAGCAGUUCCUGAAUUGGCACGAGCUUUUACUUUUCGGAUGACUUCCUCAUUUUGUUUCAUACCUCAUUUCCUUUGCCGCCAUGAGGUGCUAAAGUUUUAGCAGAGUCGGGGGCUUCCAGCCCAUAGAUGUGACUUUUCAUGAUUAUAUGUAAUAAAUUGUAAUAAAGUUACUAUCCACUUCAACA